UGUGCUCGCUGUAGGAAGAUGCCGCAUGGCUAACACAAGGAAAUGCUGAAGAUCGGGGAUCGUGCUUAGUCAAAGCAUUGUAAUAAUGCCGACUACAAAACAGUCAACAGAUAACUCCACAGCGUGGCUGAAUGUAUAGUGUGCGUAUAAACCGUUCCAUGUUGUAAAAUAAGACUACACAUUUCUUAAUCAUUGAGAACAGCAAACAGUAUUCCUGACAGAGUGAAAUACAUUAGUGUUUCAGUUUGGUAAAAUGUGUUAUAUAUACUUUUUUUCUUUCAUAUAAAGUAGUCCAGUUUUAUAAUAUUUGCAUACUUUUACAAUGAAUGCUUAAAGUGUGUUCUAUUGUGUUUGCAUUCUGCAAUUAUAAUAUAUAAAAUAACAUUGUUGUAAAGCUGUUGUACAUUAUUGCAAACAUGAAGACUGACCACAGUUACAGUUUAGUUAAACACAAUGUAAACACAACCAAACCAAUUACCUCAUUAGCUUAAAAUUUCAUCUAUUUGAAACUUUAGUGAUAACUUCAAGUAAUCUUUGGGCAAUGUAGGAUAUAUAUUAGAAAAAGAGACAACACAGGCUGCAGAUUGUUUCUGCAUAAAUGUGCACACACGUGAUAAGAUAACAGUAAUUAGAGGUUUUUCAUGAAGAGUUGUGACAAUGCCAUAAAUUAACAUGUUGUGUAGGAUGCUUUACUUUAUUUGUGUAGGAUAUUCAAGAUCCUGGAAGGGUUGUAAGAAAAUCAACUGACAUGGUAUAUGACGAGACUGGUUAUUCCCAAUCUGGAAUGAGUGGAAUUAUAAAAUAAGAACUAAAAUAUUUCAUCACUCUGCAUAUGAAACAGAAUUAUUGCUGUACCACAGCAGCCUGGGGAUAUUAUAUCUGCCACUGCUUACAAAUAGUUUGGAAGUAACUGGCAAGAAUGGAGGAACAAGUCCAAGGACAAAGCCAUCUGAUGAUGGGUCAUGCUGUUGAGGAGCACAGAGAAAUGUUUCGAAGCUUGCUCCACAUAUGAAUCAAGUUACGAAAUGUAGGUGAACAAGGAAUGACUCCAGCAGCAAUCCCAUGUUUCAGGUGAGAAAUUUGAUAGGCUGGAAGAGGAAUCUGUGUGUAGAGAAUUUAGGGGGGAAAGUGGCUGUUGUGAAAUCUAAUUAAAGCUUUUUUCGCAACAACUAGCCUGAAGACUUUGAAGACUCAAAUUCUUUGUUGUAAAUAAAUGUUAAAACCAU